CAGCAGUGGGAGGAGCAACGGUGGGAGUAGCCACCAGUAGCGCCUGUCCCCAGGCUGCAGGCAAGCUCCCUACACCCUGCUCUUGUCAAGGAGGGGCGGGCAGGGGCGGUCAGCGGAGCAGGAUAUCUAAAGGCCGGGAAGAAGAAAGCGUUGCUGCCUCUGAGAGUACAGAAGAGGAGGUGCAGCAGGCACGUCUUUCCAUACAAAACAUGGCUUAGCUGAUGGAGAGUAUACAAAUAUAAAUGUCCCUAGGGGAGACUAACAAACUGCAGGUAAUUUUAGAUGUUCUGAGAAUGUUGAUUGGAACAGAUUUCCCCACUGCAAGAAACGUAAAUGGAUUUGAAGAAAUGUAACCCAGCCAGCCGUGGGUUGCUGCUGUGUAUCCCAUGGAACCGCAUUUGUUGAUCUGAAAAACCUGCUGCUGUUGGAAGGAAAGGAGGGCGUGGGGGAGCCAGCCGAGUUGAAUAUCUGCUUGUUAUAUGGAGCUGAAGCCUGGUACCCCACGCCAAAGAUUUUUAGUUGGCACCUUUCUGGAAAAAACAAAACUGUUAAUAUCCGACAGUUUGCUCACAAAGUGUCUGUACCCUAGGAGAACCGCAAACUGUUACCAUAUGUAUGGCGGUUGUCAAA